rnacentral:rRNA from 1 species
UACGAAGGGUCCGAGCGUUGUCCGGAAUUACUGGGCGUAAAGAGCUCGUAGGUGGUUUGUCGCGUUGUCCGUGAAAACUCACAACUCAAUUGUGGGCGUGCGGGCGAUACGGGCAGACUGGAGUACUGCAGGGGAGACUGGAAUUCCUGGUGUAGCGGUGGAAUGCGCAGAUAUCAGGAGGAACACCGGUGGCGAAGGCGGGUCUCUGGGCAGUAACUGACGCUGAGGAGCGAAAGCGUGGGGAGCGAACAGG